CGCGUAGGCGGCCGGGUUGGUCGUGGGUGAAAUCCCCCAGCUUAACUGGGGAACUGCCUACGAUACUGCCUGGCUCGAGGGAGGAAGGGGCGGUCGGAACUGUCGGUGGAGCGGUGAAAUGCGUUGAUAUCGACAGGAACGCCGGUGGCGAAAGCGGACCGCUGGCCCUCUUCUGACGCUGAGGCGCGAAAGCCAGGGGAGCGAACG
rnacentral:rRNA from 1 species